AUCUGAUAAAACUAAGAUCUACCUGACCUAUAUGCGGUAGGAUCCAAUAAUCCCAACCUAGUACAAGUUAAUGUUGCCUUCCUAUCCAGUACCCUCUAACCUAUGCGGACAUGUACAGAUUACGGAUACCCCUGGUACAGUACAGUUAGCCCAACAUAGAUAGGAAAGUGAAACAUUAGGAAUUUCAAGGUUGAUGUCUAGUCAAUUUAUACAUUCACUUUG
rnacentral:lncRNA from 1 species